GGGUUUGCGCAGUGGCAGUAUCGUAGCCUGUGAGGUUCAACCGAGGCGCGAUUAUUGUUAAUUGAAAACUUUUCCCAAUGUUUCUAUGUUGUCUCCCUUAAAAACACAUGAAUAAAACAGUUGAUGCGCAAAUAAAAUCAAU